UUACGGCCAUAUCAUGUUGAAACAUCAGGUCUUGUAUGAUCGCUGAAGUUAAGCAACAUUGAGUGUGGCCACUACCUAGAUGAGUGACCACUUAGGAAUACCAGGUGCUGU